rnacentral:rRNA from 1 species
UACAGAGGGUGCUAGCGUUGUUCGGAAUCAUUGGGCGUAAAGAGCGCGUAGGCGGCUAGAUAAGUCCGGUGUGAAAGUCACAGGCUCAACCUGUGAAUGCCGCUGGAAACUGUCUGGCUAGAGUCCGGAAGGGGCGAGUGGAAUUCCUGGUGUAGCGGUGAAAUGCGCAGAUAUCAGGAGGAACACCAAUGGCGAAGGCAGCUCGCUGGGACGGUACUGACGCUGAGGCGCGAAAGCGUGGGGAGCAAACAGG